rnacentral:rRNA from 1 species
UGCAGAAUCCCGUGAACCAUCGAGUCUUUGAACGCAAGUUGCGCCCGAAGCCUUUAGGCCGAGGGCACGCCUGCCUGGCGUCA